rnacentral:rRNA from 1 species
UACGAAGGGUGCAAGCGUUACUCGGAAUUACUGGGCGUAAAGCGUGCGUAGGUGGUGAGUUAAGUCUGAUGUGAAAUCCCCGGGCUCAACCUGGGAAUGGCAUUGGAUACUGGCUCGCUAGAGUGCGGUAGAGGGUGGUGGAAUUCCCGGUGUAGCAGUGAAAUGCGUAGAGAUCGGGAGGAACAUCUGUGGCGAAGGCGGCCUUCUGGACCAAUACUGACGCUCAUGCACGAAAGCGUGGGGAGCAAACAGG